AUUUCACCGCUAGAUAGUGACAAAUGUAAUUUCUACAGCUAAUCCAAGAUUCGCGUCCACUGGCCUGCGAUUCUUCACUUUCUGCAUCGGCUUUUGUAUAGAAAUAUUCAAGGAUUGCCGACGAGUGGCUAUAGUGGAUCUAUAGCGGUUGCGUGAAGUAUGUGACAAAGGAUUGGCAAUUCUUGGAUGGUUAAGACUCUGUCAAUGAUAUGGGAAUUUGCCCGGUUAUCCAAAAUUGAUAUAAUUCUUCUGAUGGAUAUCAAUCAUCCUUGAAAUAAUCAACCGGAUUAUGGAGAGCGGAUUUAACAUCUCUCGUCUUCGAGGCUUGCAGAUUACUCCUAACGCCCUUAGCCCCUUGACCUAUUAGGCACUUUUGAAAUAAACCAGAUCCAAGACAUGGCUGUUGCCGAGGAAUUUAGCGAGCUUUGCCGACUAUGUGCUGCUAAGACUAGUCUACUACUUGGCUUACCUAUUUUUGAUAGCGACGGUGAGAUGCGACACAUCGAUCAGAAGAUUUCAGCUUGUCUUCUGCUACAGGUUUCGCUCACCGACAAACUUCCAAAAGUAGUAUGUGAAGAGUGCUACUAUAAGUUGGACCAGCUCUACAAUUUCAGACAAAAGUGUUUGCGCACCGAAGGAAUGUUCUUAGCAAUGCUCAAAGAGGUUGAAGUCUCGCAAGUCCAGUUUAAAGAGGAGUGUGAAAGUGUCGAUCAGAUGCAAGCCAUGCGUGUCAUGGAUGACAUGGAUUUAGCUGGAGGAGAACAGGUUGUCUCUCAGGAGGAGAUUUGUCAAGGUGGAGACAUCCAAGUUGCUCGUAUCAAACUUGACGGUAAUACCGUACGCUUGGUAGACCAGCACAUGCGGAACAUUCAGGACGAGGUAUCUAGUCAGCAAAUCACGAUGCAUCUUGAAGGUAAUAUGACAGUGGUGAGUGAUCUUACAGUUGGAGGAGACCUUGAUCAGCUAGACAUAAAGUAUGUGACGUCCAUAGAACCCAACAGCCAGAACUGUGAAGAGGCAUGUCAAAUUGAUCAAGAAGCAGAAAAUGGCGCAGUUGACAAAUUUGAUAGUGAAGAAGAGAGCGAAGUUGACAAUUCUGGCGAUAGCGAAGGAGAUACACGAAUAGAAGAUGCCUGCCACGACGAUAUAAUGGCAUCGACGAGUGAAGAACAGCGAUGUUCUAACGGAAGUGGCAACGAGACAACGGUGGAAUACACGAAAAUGGCAAAAGAUUCUCUUUUAGAGACGAUUUUGACAAAUCCAAGCAUUGAUGAGACUGGAAAUAGCUGGUACGUCUGUCGGCUUUGCAACGAGGCAGCGACGGAACCUUCGAAUUUAGCUGAACAUUUCGAGGUGCAUUUCUGCAGCUGUGCCUGCGGCAUUUAUUUCACCAGUGUAGAGGCACUCAAUAUUCACAAGCAACAUUGCCAGCCCAGUAAAAUUAAGGAGGUAACAGCUAUCACAAAUUCUGCAAGUGAUGUCAAUGGCUGUGGAGAAAUUAUAAUAGAUGCUUUAGAGGAGGAGAAAAAAUCUGGAGGUACUGCACGGCAAAAAUGGACACCAAAAAUAUGCAGCGAAUGCGGGAAACAGUACAGAACUAACUACAAGCUUCAAGAACACAUGAGAAAACACACUGGGGAAAAACCAUUUCAGUGUCUGCUCUGUGAAAAAGCAUUCCGUAGCAAAAUUGGACUUGCUCAACACACUGCAACGCACACUGGACAGUUCGACUAUACUUGUUCUACCUGUGGGAAAGGAUUUCAGUGCAAAAGUUAUUUAAUCGUUCACCAGAGAGUUCAUUCAGAUCUAAAACCAUACCCAUGUAGCACUUGUGGUCAAAAUUUUAAAACAAAGCAGUCUCUGUUAGACCAUAGAAAUCGUCAUCUCGGUGUUAAACCUUACAUGUGUGAGGUAUGCGGUAAAGGAUUUAUAACGAAAGGCCUUUGUAAGAGCCACCAGAAGAUCCAUUCGGGUAAAGACAAUCGGCAGUAUCCAUGCAUGGUGUGCAACAAGUUAUUUGUAAGUAAAAGCUACCUUAAUACUCAUCUUAGAAUUCACACUGGGGAAAAACCUUACAAAUGCGAGGUGUGCGGAAAAGGUUUUCUAACAAGGGUUGAUUUGAGAAUUCACUCUACGAUGCACACUGGUGAAAAAAGCUUUGUUUGCGAAAUGUGUGGCAAAGCUUUUGCUCGACGCGCAGCUCUCCGAUGCCACCGGAGAUCACACACCGGUGAAAGGCCUUAUAGAUGUGACGUUUGUGGUAAAACUUUCACUCAGUUCAGCCCUAUGGCAAUACACAAAAGAUUGCAUACCGGUGAGAGACCCUACGAGUGUGAUGUCUGCAGGAAAGCCUUUGUGUCAAGAUCAACCAUGACAUCUCAUCGCAAAAAACAUCACUUGUCUAAUGCAACUGACCCUAAGGAAGCUUCUGGACAAACGCAUGAAACAAUGCCUCCUGAGAUCGUUAUCAGGGGUUCAAAUGAUGGGGUACAAAUAACUGCAGAUUGAAGUUUAAGCUAACUGAGAAAUGCACUGACUGAAUACUUGAGGAUAUACGACGAGGUUGAGAACAGGGAGAUUGAUUUUUCCCGGGAGCGUGCUUAUUUUUAUAAAUUUUGAUCCUGGUUGCUUCUUAUACUUUAAAACUUGGAUAUAUCUUAAUCGUUACGUAGUUCAGCGUAUUUUUAGAACAUCGAUCAUCUCAAAGUAACAAAACGUAGUUAAAUAAGCGAUAAUGUUGAUACAAAAAAUUCCUUUCAGCGAAUGCAAAAAACCUUGCAUAUAACUAAUGUGCUAUUAAAAAAUCAAUGAUCCCAGGGUAUAGUAACAAAUACCAUCAUUAGCUAACGUAUUUUUCUUCCAAGUAUUUUUCAGCGUUAAGACGACCGUAAGAAUUCUUUGAGAAUAACAAGAGUUUAGAUUAUUUUCAAACGUAAAUGGUAGUUGAUAGUAAUGAUAAUCAUGGAUCAUUAUAUUAGAUUCUUCCUUGCUCAUUCAGUUGAUCGUUGAGUGGACUCAAUGAUCGAUCCAUUGAUCCAGGAAAUAAAAAAGAGGAAAUAUCCUUGACAAUUUUUUAAUAUAAUUGCUACUGACAGUUUGCUACUGUCUCAGCAGUCUCAGCUAAUUGAGCAGAACCGUUUGAUAAUGUUUCUUAUAUCGUUUGAUAAUUUAAUUUUAAUUUACUUUUAUUUUCAAUGUGAUUGAAGAUGUAUAAAUAGUUUUAUUAAAAACACUAAUAAAACAGAAAAAUAAGAACCCUGAAAAGAAAAACUUCACACCGUUUUUGAAUAUUGCAACGUGUUAUUUUCAAAAAAGAUCUGGAAAUCGGUACGUGCGUUCGUGGUAUGUGCUAUAGUGGAAAUCCUCAGUCAACGAUGGUGGGUUUCUAGCAAGCUGGUUUAAAAAAAGUUUGUACCUUGAUUUGUGAAUUUUCCUGAUAGUACCGAGAGGGAGCACGAUCUUUUAAUUACCGCAUCUUUCCCAGCCCUUGAGGGCGCCUGAUAAUAUGCGAGUGGAGUUAUAGUAUUCCAGAUUUAUUUCUAAUUUUUUUCUGAUUAUAUCCCAUUUUUCCCGAAUAAUUUUCGAUUUUUUAAUUAAUUAUUCAAUUACCACAUCUUCCCAGCCGAAGAAGUGAACACUAGUGCCGAGGGGCGUAACACCGGCGCGCGGCACUCGCGUGAGCUAAGAUUCCAGGUUUCUUGCCCCUUGACUCGACUAGACCCGCCUUACAGCGAAGAUAACAAUCUUCAGUCAACGGAAGAUGCGUUGACUGAUGAUGACUAAGAAGAAUCAGAGUGCAUCCUCAAGAGCAGAGGGGCUAGACUGACAGCUAUAAAAUUGAAUUCAAUCUGGAGAAGAGUCCUAUCAUACUUGGUUGUUUUUUGGCAUGGAUACCAGAAGAGUUGAUCACUGCUAUCCGUUUCAUUCUUCCAGGUUGAACUGUAUUUGUCCCAGGGAAGAAUGCGAAGUCGAAACAACAAAGUCCUUGCGAUAAGUGUCAGAUGUUAUUAUGACACCUCUGUGUACUUUGACGGACAGUCAGUGCAGAUGUUUUGCUGAGAAAGGUCCAGCUGCCCAACCCAAGCAUAUUGUUGCUCUACUUUUGGAAACGACACAGAGAGUUUGAGGGGAAGAAAUCAUACUCCCUAGUACAUGUAUCUACUCAAGAACUGCAGUCAUUCCAUGGUGGCCCUAUUUCUGAACCCCUCUUGAAGUUCAAGAUUCGGAUUCCUGAGAUCAAAAUACAUAAGGAUAGCAUGACAAACCCUUCCAAAAAAAAUCUGGAUCUUCAUCUCAGAUUUUGAGAAAAUUCCAAGGCUAUAGGCUUCCUGUUUUUUUCGGCAAAAAAGUAAAGCAUUUGCUAGAAUAAUUCUAGGACGCUUUUCCUACGUGAAAGAGCGUAUCGAACAAGAGGCCGUCAAUGAAAUUGAGCUGGCGUAAGAUUCCAUCGAGAUUCGGAUUCCUGAGAUCAAAAUACAUAAGGAUAGCAUGACAAACCCUUCCAAAAAAAAUCUGGAUCUUCAUCUCAGAUUUUGAGAAAAUUCCAAGGCUAUAGGCUUACUGUUUUUUUCGGCAAAAAAGUGAAGCAUCUGCCAGAAUAAUUUCGGGACGCUUUUUCUAUGUAAAAAAGCGUAUCGAACGAGAAGCCGUCAAUGAAAUUGAGCUGGCGUAAGAUUCCAUCGAGAUUCGGAUUCCUGAGAUCAAAAUACAUAAGGAUAGCAUGACAAACCCUUCCAAAAAAAAUCUGGAUCUUCAUCUCAGAUUUUGAGAAAAUUCCAAGGCUAUAGGCUUCCUGUUUUUUUCGGCAAAAAAGUAAAGCAUUUGCUAGAAUAAUUCUAGGACGCUUUUCCUACGUGAAAGAGCGUAUCGAACAAGAGGCCGUCAAUGAAAUUGAGCUGGCGUAAGAUUCCAUCGAGAUUCGGAUUCCUGAGAUCAAAAUACAUGAGGAUAGCGUGGGGAACCCUU